GACGAACCGUGCGAACGUUGUUCGGAAUCAUUGGGCGUAAAGGGCGCGUAGGCGGCCGAAUAAGUCUGACGUGAAAUCCCCCGGCCCAACCGGGGAACUGCGUUUGAUACUGUUUGGCUCGAGUCCGGGAGAGGGUAGUGGAAUUCCCAGUGUAGCGGUGAAAUGCGUAGAUAUUGGGAGGAACACCGGUGGCGAAGGCGGCUACCUGGACCGGUACUGACGCUGAGGCGCGAAAGCUAGGGUAGCAAACAGG
rnacentral:rRNA from 1 species